CUCUCUCUCUCUCUCUCUCUCCUAUCCUUCUCCCAAGACUCAAGCACAAGUUUCGCUCACCAGCCCUCCCCCUCCACUCCCAUUUCCAAAACCCUCCAAACAAUCUCCAUCUCCGCCGCCGCCACCGCCCUCCUCCUUGCCCGUCCUCACCGUCCCCCUUUUUCUUCCCUCCCAGCCACCAUUAUCCAGUCCGAACCCCAGCCUCAGACCCACUCUCCCUGCUUCUAUCCCACUUCCUCUUCUAUAAUGGGGAUGUUGAGGUCGCGAAGGAGGGAUUCGAGGGCGUCCUCUCUACUGAUCCCUUUGUCGUCGAGGCGUACCAUGGGUUGGUAAUGGCCUCGUCCGAGAACGAAGAUGAGCUUGAUGGCAUUUUGAAUAUGAGUUGAGGAGAUGAUGGAGAAGUGCAAGAAGGAGAAUAGGAAAAUGGAGCUGAGGGAUUUCAAGCUGCUGAAGGCUCAGGUGAAGGUAAUACAGGGUGCUAUGAAGAGGCGCUGGAGAUAUAUAAGGGCUUGGUGAAGGAGGAGCCUAGAUAUCACACCUUGGUGUCUCCGAUGUCCCACAAUCAUCACCACCGUCGCCAUUCCCAGGAUUUCAGAUCUGCUCACGAAGGACUAUAAUUUUGAUCACAAGUUGACAAUCUGGACACAGAGCGCUUCUGUAGUGGCAAAAGUGGAGAUCAUUGUGACUGAAUGUGAGCAGGGGGCUUCUGUGUUGUCUUUGGUGAAUGAAAUUGGGGCUUUUACUCUUGUUGUAGGACUCCAUGAACAUAACUUCCCCUAAAGCUUGUCACAUCGUGAAGAACUAUAUUGCUCAUCUUCUUGACAUCAAGAUUCCAUUGAUAUUGGGCAAUUCAUGAUGUUAUUUUAAUAGUUAAAUACAUGACUGGCCAUCUAUCUUGAUUUUGACUUUCUCAAUCUGAGAAGCAUAAUUUUAAAAUGGCUUUCGCUUCUA